ensembl:snoRNA SNORA75 Small nucleolar RNA SNORA75
GGCUUCUCAUUGAGCUCCUUUCUGUCCAUUGGUGGCAGUUGAGGUAUUUGCAUGAGAAGAAGAGAGAAUUCACAGAACUAGCAUUAUUUUACUUUCUGUCUUUACAGAGGUAUAUUUGGCUGUUUUGUGAGACAUUC